rnacentral:rRNA from 1 species
CACGUAGGGGACGAGCGUUGUCCGGAUUCAUUGGGCGUAAAGCGCGCGUAGGCGGCUCGGAAAGUCGGUCGUGAAAUGCCGGGGCUCAACCCCGGGACUGCGUCCGAUACUCUCGAGCUGGAGGCAGGUAGGGGAGAUCGGAAUUCCUGGUGUAGCGGUGAAAUGCGCAGAUAUCAGGAGGAACACCAAUGGCGAAGGCAGGUCACUGGGCCGCAACUGACGCUGAGGAGCGAAAGCAUGGGGAGCGAACAGG